rnacentral:rRNA from 2 species
AUGGGCGCAAGCCUGAUGGAGCAACACCGCGUGAGUGAAGAAGGGUUUCGGCUCGUAAAGCUCUGUUGUUAAAGAAGAACACGUAUGAGAGUAACUGUUCAUACGUUGACGGUAUUUAACCAGAAAGUCACGGCUAACUACGUGCCAGCAGCCGCGGUAAUACGUAGGUGGCAAGCGUUAUCCGGAUUUAUUGGGCGUAAAGAGAGUGCAGGCGGUUUUCUAAGUCUGAUGUGAAAGCCUUCGGCUUAACCGGAGAAGUGCAUCGGAAACUGGAUAACUUGAGUGCAGAAGAGGGUAGUGGAACUCCAUGUGUAGCGGUGGAAUGCGUAGAUAUAUGGAAGAACACCAGUGGCGAAGGCGGCUACCUGGUCUGCAACUGACGCUGAGACUCGAAAGCAUGGGUAGCGAACAGGAUUAGAUACCCUGGUAGUCCAUGCCGUAAACGAUGAGUGCUAGGUGUUGGAGGGUUUCCGCCCUUCAGUGCCGGAGCUAACGCAUUAAGCACUCCGCCUGGGGAGUACGACCGCAAGGUUGAAACUCAAAGGAAUUGACGGGGGCCCGCACAAGCGGUGGAGCAUGUGGUUUAAUUCGAAGCUACGCGAAGAACCUUACCAGGUCUUGACAUCUUGCGCCAACCCUAGAGAUAGGGCGUUUCCUUCGGGAACGCAAUGACAGGUGGUGCAUGGUCGUCGUCAGCUCGUGUCGUGAGAUGUUGGGUUAAGUCCCGCAACGAGCGCAACCCUUGUUACUAGUUGCCAGCAUUAAGUUGGGCACUCUAGUGAGACUGCCGGUGACAAACCGGAGGAAGGUGGGGACGACGUCAGAUCAUCAUGCCCCUUAUGACCUGGGCUACACACGUGCUACAAUGGACGGUACAACGAGUCGCGAACUCGCGAGGGCAAGCAAAUCUCUUAAAACCGUUCUCAGUUCGGACUGCAGGCUGCAACUCGCCUGCACGAAGUCGGAAUCGCUAGUAAUCGCGGAUCAGCAUGCCGCGGUGAAUACGUUCCCGGGCCUUGUACACACCGCCCGUCACACCAUGAGAGUUUGUAACACCCAAAGUCGGUGGGGU